rnacentral:lncRNA from 1 species
CAAGGAUGGGUCCUGAGAGCCUCUAAAGGACCCCAACUUCCCCUCUAAUCUUUUGAAAAAGGUUAUGUCAAGAGGAGAUGGUGGCUGUGUACACAUGUUCAGAGAAGGGAGAGGAGGAACAUUUCUGAGAAAAGACUGUGAGAAGUAAAUUAAGAAAUGCAUCAUCCAAGUUUUACCCUUCAGGUGAUCAGAGGAUCAGAGGUUCUUUCAGAGAGUACAGCUCCCUUUCCAGAGGUCUUUGGCACUCACCAGCAGGCAAAGGUUGCAAGUGAGACUCUCACCAGAUGUAUUUGAAAGGAAAGCUGAAAAUCUGAAGCAUAGAGAUGUGAUAGAAUUUCCCAUUGCACCAUCAACAUUUAAACAAGAAAUUGCUGCUUUCUAACAGUGCUAGUCAUCAGCCAACCUACAUGAUUCCUUGGGAAAAAGUGUGCAAUUAGGAAUGGACCUACCAUAUGUGAUUUGAAAACUUGCGUAAUUGUAUUGUAAAUCCUUUGAAAGCACUUGGCGGCAUGAAAUGCUUGUGAAAGAAGCAGUGCAAUAGAAUGGAAUAUGGGGAAAUGAGAUUAUAUAAUUUUUACACAUAAAAACAAUGGCCAGUUGAUUUCUCAAAAGGAGGGCUGAUAUUCUGUUUUCACUCAAUCUCACAGUUGUUCUGGGGUCAAAUAGCUCAUGUGUAACUCUGUACAGUAACAAACCCAAAAAAUGCUUUUACGCUAUUGCUUUUUUUUUUCUUUUCUUAUUUUCUGAUUAUAUUUGUGUGACAAAUAAGAUGAAAAACUGGAGCCAAGGAAGAAAUUUCAUUAAAGUAGUUGUGGUUUGGAAAUACAUUAGGUGCUCUCCAGAAUAUCAUUCUGUCUCUUUCUGAUAAUGAUCAACUAUUUAUGUUUCAUUGAGCAGAAAAAGCUUUUUAGAGGAAAGGAAAGAAAAAUAUGAGAAAGAAAUGAAAAUAUGCUUCUAAAACCCACAGCUUCUAAGGCACCUCAAUGACAAUCUUGGUAUUAAAUCCUGACUGAGCAGCCUUUCAAGUAUGGGUAAUUUUUUACUUUUAGAAGUGUUUUUAUAAAGUGCUUAUACUUGGGGUU